rnacentral:lncRNA from 1 species
CACACACAACACACACACACACACACACACGCACGCACCCCCGCGCGCACACGCCCGCCCGCUCGCGCUGCCUCUGCGCCUCCAUCCCGGCUCGCUCAUUAUCUCGCCCUCUCGCUUCCCCUGCGGUCUCUCGCUCUGCGCGCACACACCACACACACGCACACGCACACACACGCGCGCACACACGCAGCCGGCACAGGCGGCGGCGGCGGCUGCCCAAGUCAGGACGAACCUAUCUAGGUACCGUCUUGAGAAGGCGGCAGCGGCGGCGGCGGCGGCGGCGGCGGCAGCCCGAGCAUCCCUCCUCUCCCGGAGAGGGAGCACCGCCGAGAGUUUCCGUUCCCUUUGCCAUUCCCUUCCCCCUCCUUUUCUUUUAUUUUCGAGAGAAUUUCUUCUUGGCUUAUUGGUUUAAUUUGAUUUUUAAAAUUUUGGGUUGCUUUUGUGUAUGUGUGCUUUUUUUUUCUUUCCUCAUUUUAUUUGCAUCCAGAGCAUGGCGGGCUGCGGGCUGUCGGAAGACACCCUCUUCUCUUCCUUCUUUUACAACUACGGCUCCUCCUGGGAAACCCCUUCCAACCAGUCUCCAGGUUCUGUCGCGUUCCUCCCGUGCCCAAUCUGCCAUCGACACCUUCCCCCACCACCUCCCAGCCCAGCGGGAACCCGAGAAAGAGGCAGGAGCCGGCGCGUUACCCCGAACAACUCCAGGCAGAACCAGGGAACUCGAGCGCAACCUUCCCCAAGUCGCCGCGGGCGCCGCGCCCCUGUGCGCCCGGCGCCUACCCGCCUUCCAGUUGCGCCGAGGGGCUGCAGAGCCGCAAGCCCCCCGCGACGUGCUGUCCCCCCUCCACUCCCCUCGGGGCCCGAGCCGCCUCUUUCCCUAAAAUGGCUGCAAUCUCAAGUAGAGGCGUCCCCUGACCCGCGGAGGUGGGGGGGGUGGGGUGCAGAGUGGAGCCUCCGCUCCUCCUGACCCCGCGCCUCCCCUGGGGCACAGAAGCACCCCACAAACACACUUAACUUUGAUGACUGUGCAAUGCAGUCCGGCUGCAUCGUGCCCUAGACGCUCCACGCCGCCGGCCUGUAGGUGUGCGUGUCGGUGUGACUCGGGGGGCCCAGGGACGCUGGGGGUAGACGCCGGAAGGGGGGCGUGGAAGGAGAUGGAUGUCAGCGGGCCACUGGUAACCUGGAGAGACAGGCAUGUGCUCAGGGUCUAGGGGUGAAAAAGCUAUUCUGGGAGCUGGAGCGAGAAAUAGAGAGAGGAAAAAUGCCUUUUAAUUAAAUAACUGUUGUAGUCUGCUGCCCCCA